UCUGUUUUCUUGCUUCUUCUCCACCUUCUCCAUCCCUCCACUUUUGCCCGUCAUCCGUGAUGACCUCAAACUCACCGAAACUGAUAUUGGCAACGCUGGCAUCGCCUCCUUCGUCGGUUCCAUAUUUUCACGCCUUGCCAUGGGACCUGCCUGCGACCUGAUGGGACCACGUCUUGCCUCCGCCACGCUCUCUCUCGCCACCGCUCCUAUUAUCAUGUCUGCUUCUUUAGUCACAUCUCCUACCUGUUUUAUUCUCAUUCGCUUCGGAGUAGGAUUUUCGUUGGCCAACUUCGUGGCCAGCCAGUUUUGGAUG
rnacentral:lncRNA from 1 species